rnacentral:rRNA from 1 species
AGAGUUUGAUCCUGGCUCAGGACGAACGCUGGCGGCACGCCUAACACAUGCAAGUCGAACGGAGAUGAUUUGAGUUUACUUAGAUCAUCUUAGUGGCGGACGGGUGAGUAACACGUGAGCAACCUGCCUUUGAGAGAGGGAUAGCUUCUGGAAACGGAUGGUAAUACCUCAUAACAUACAGAUACCGCAUGGUGACUGUAUCAAAGAUUUAUCACUCAAAGAUGGGCUCGCGUCUGAUUAGAUAGUUGGUGAGGUAACGGCUCACCAAGUCGACGAUCAGUAGCCGGACUGAGAGGUUGAACGGCCACAUUGGGACUGAGAUACGGCCCAGACUCCUACGGGAGGCAGCAGUGGGGAAUAUUGCACAAUGGGGGAAACCCUGAUGCAGCGAUGCCGCGUGGAGGAAGAAGGUUUUCGGAUUGUAAACUCCUGUCUUAAAGGACGAUAAUGACGGUACUUUAGGAGGAAGCUCCGGCUAACUACGUGCCAGCAGCCGCGGUAAUACGUAGGGAGCGAGCGUUGUCCGGAAUUACUGGGUGUAAAGGGAGCGUAGGCGGGACGGCAAGUCAGAUGUGAAAUACAUGGGCUCAACCCAUGGGCUGCAUUUGAAACUGCUGUUCUUGAGUGAAGUAGAGGUAAGCGGAAUUCCUGGUGUAGCGGUGAAAUGCGUAGAUAUCAGGAGGAACACCGGUGGCGAAGGCGGCUUACUGGGCUUUUACUGACGCUGAGGCUCGAAAGCGUGGGGAGCAAACAGGAUUAGAUACCCUGGUAGUCCACGCUGUAAACGAUGAUUACUAGGUGUGGGGGGACUGACCCCUUUCGUGCCGCAGUUAACACAAUAAGUAAUCCACCUGGGGAGUACGGCCGCAAGGUUGAAACUCAAAGGAAUUGACGGGGGCCCGCACAAGCAGUGGAGUAUGUGGUUUAAUUCGAAGCGACGCGAAGAACCUUACCAGGUCUUGACAUCGAGUGCAUAACUAAGAGAUUAGUGAAAUCCCUUCGGGGACACUUAGACAGGUGGUGCAUGGUUGUCGUCAGCUCGUGUCGUGAGAUGUUGGGUUAAGUCCCGCAACGAGCGCAACCCUUACCUUUAGUUGCUACGCAAGAGCACUCUAAAGGGACUGCCGUUGACAAAACGGAGGAAGGUGGGGAUGACGUCAAAUCAUCAUGCCCCUUAUGACCUGGGCUACACACGUACUACAAUGGCAAUCAACAAAGAGAAG